UGGGGAAUAUUGCACAAUGGGCGCAAGCCUGAUGCAGCCAUGCCGCGUGUGUGAAGAAGGCCUUCGGGUUGUAAAGCACUUUCAGCGAGGAGGAAGGGUAGUGUGUUAAUAGCACAUUGCAUUGACGUUACUCGCAGAAGAAGCACCGGCUAACUCCGUGCCAGCAGCCGCGGUAAUACGGAGGGUGCAAGCGUUAAUCGGAAUUACUGGGCGUAAAGCGCACGCAGGCGGUUUGUUAAGUCAGAUGUGAAAUCCCGCGCUUAACGUGGGAACUG
rnacentral:rRNA from 1 species